AAGCUAGCUGGGCAUUUAAAGUUCAUGCUUACAUUGGCAAACCAUAUUCAGCAUUAUUGGGUCCAACGCUGGUAGUAAAGAUGGUGUAGCGGCGAAGAAACCAAAGCGGUAUAAAGUUCUGUUCUGCAUAGCCUUUUCUUCAUGGAUAGUUUCUAUUGUGAGUUCUGCUCACAGCCUCACAGGGCUAGGUGGAGAGCUUAUUAGUAUCUUAGUAGUGCUCACUACCUCGAUGUCUUGACGCACACUACUACUCUGUUGGUUCUCUGCUUAAAUGAGGCAUCAAAUAUUCACUCUGCCAAAGUAGUGAAUAUAUGAAUGGUAUUCUUGCUUAGGGUAUUUCUCAAUAUCUCUCUGCUGAUUUAGUCAAUAACUAUAGUAGCCUGACAAUUAGUCCUUGGUGAAGGUAAUUUACCUCUCCCUCAUUACAUAUCUGGAUACAUGUGGUGGUUGCAUUCCUUUACUAAAGCUUGGUAUUUUUGUGUCUCCGGUGAAGCUCCGGUGGAUGGCGGUGAGAUGCAUGGCAUUUCUUCAGAGCCUUAUAUGCAUCGUUAUGAUUAUGCAUGAUUUAUAGUGUGUUCCAACCAGAGUUGUUCCUUUAUUGGCUAAUAUCAAUGAGAAGUAUAUGUAGCUUAUCCCAACCUCUUGAAGGUUAUGUUCUUCAAUUUUUUUUUGUCUUGGACUGCACACAAUGU